GAUGAGCGCUAGCGGCAGGCCUAACACAUGCAAGUCGAGGGGCAGCACAUAAAGUGGUUUACUACUUUUGGUGGCGACCGGCGGACGGGUGCGUAACGCGUAUGCAACCUGCCUCCAACAGGGGGAUAACGGAGAGAAAUUUCCACUAAUACCCCAUAAUAUCAGAAUCGGCAUCGGUUUUGGUUGAAAACUCCGGUGGUUGGAGAUGGGCAUGCGUCGUAUUAGAUAGUUGGUGAGGUAACGGCUCACCAAGUCAACGAUACAUAGGGGGACUGAGAGGUUAGCCCCCCACACUGGUACUGAGACACGGACCAGACUCAUACGGGAGGCAGCAGUGAGGAAUAUUGGUCAAUGGGGGCAACCCUGAACCAGCCAUGCCGCGUGCAGGAAGACGGCUCUAUGAGUUGUAAACUGCUUUUACAAGGGGAUAAAUGGGUGUACGUGUACACCGUUGAAGGUACCUUGGGAAUAAGGAUCGGCUAACCCCGUGCCAGCAGCCGCCGUAA
rnacentral:rRNA from 1 species